AUUCAAUCGAAUGAUAGCGCGAAUAGGAAGGACUUAUCCCACAAAUUCCCCUCACAGGCCCAAAGCACGCGGAUCUGGCCACGUCUGGGUCGGGUCACUGGGUGAAGGCCACCAUACGACGUCGUAUUUAGACCAUUAAAAUUGGUCAAAAUGGCGCUGUUUCCAUUCCUUUAUAUAGGCUAAAUCAGCUGAAUCAACAUGGCUCCCUUUUGUUUGUUUUUCAAAUCCCUAGUCCCCUUUUUCUAAUUGUCGAAUCAUCUUCACCAGAUGCUCCCCGAACCUGGAGAAAUUUCAGCCCCAAAACCUUUCUCAACUUCUAUUUCAACGAAGAAAGGAGAAGAGAUCCAUGGCCUGUUUACACGGUACGGGUUCUGUGCUGGCGUACGGAGGCGCCGGCGUGGCUGCUGGAGGGUACGGAGGCUGGGGCUGCUGGUCGUACGGUGCGAGGGCUGGGGCGCGCGUGGGGACCUGAGCGGCGCCUAGGGUUUUCCUUCCCUCCUUUGGCGGAAAAAUGUUUAGGAUAAUCGGGCUAGUUGGGCUUUAGGGCAUUUGGGUCUAGGUUUGGGCUUGUAAUAAGUUUGGGCUAGGUAUUAGUUAUUGGGUCGUUUAAUUGGGCUUUAAUGAUAGACUAUUAGUAUGUUUUAUUCUUUGGACUUUUGGUUUAAUAAUUUGGUAUUUAUUUUGGGUUUUGGUUCUAAUGUGGGCCCGGGCAAAUUGGCCCGUUUACACUGAUUAGUUCUCAAAUCAGCCAGUUUAAUCAAUUGGUCCGAUCAAAUUCAAACAAUCAUACUUUUAACUAAAA